rnacentral:rRNA from 1 species
AGUAACCUGCCCCUGACUUCGGGAUAAGCGCUGGAAACGGCGUCUAAUACCGGAUAUGAGCUUCCCUCGCAUGGGGGUUGUUGGAAAGUUUUUCGGUUGGGGAUGGGCUCGCGGCCUAUCAGCUUGUUGGUGGGGUGAUGGCCUACCAAGGCGACGACGGGUAGCCGGCCUGAGAGGGCGACCGGCCACACUGGGACUGAGACACGGCCCAGACUCCUACGGGAGGCAGCAGUGGGGAAUAUUGCACAAUGGGCGCAAGCCUGAUGCAGCGACGCCGCGUGAGGGAUGACGGCCUUCGGGUUGUAAACCUCUUUCAGCAGGGAAGAAGCGCAAGUGACGGUACCUGCAGAAGAAGCGCCGGCUAACUACGUGCCAGCAGCCGCGGUAAUACGUAGGGCGCAAGCGUUGUCCGGAAUUAUUGGGCGUAAAGAGCUCGUAGGCGGUCUGUCGCGUCUGGUGUGAAAACUCGAGGCUCAACCUCGAGCUUGCAUCGGGUACGGGCAGACUAGAGUGCGGUAGGGGAGACUGGAAUUCCUGGUGUAGCGGUGGAAUGCGCAGAUAUCAGGAGGAACACCGAUGGCGAAGGCAGGUCUCUGGGCCGCAACUGACGCUGAGGAGCGAAAGCAUGGGGAGCGAACAGGAUUAGAUACCCUGGUAGUCCGAUGCC